CCUACGGGCGGCUGCAGUGGGGAAUAUUGGACAAUGGGGGGAACCCUGAUCCAGCCAUGCCGCGUGUGUGAAGAAGGCCCUCGGGUUGUAAAGCACUUUCAGUGAGGAAGAACGCCUGGUGGUUAAUACCCAUCAGGAAAGACAUCACUCACAGAAGAGGCACCGGCUAACUCCGUGCCAGCAGCCGCGGUAAUACGGAGGGUGCGAGCGUUAAUCGGAAUUACUGGGCGUAAAGCGCGCGUAGGUGGCUUGAUAAGCCGGUUGUGAAAGCCCCGGGCUCAACCUGGGAACGGCAUCCGGAACUGUCAAGCUAGAGUGCAGGAGAGGAAGGUAGAAUUCCCGGUGUAGCGGUGAAAUGCGUAGAGAUCGGGAGGAAUACCAGUGGCGAAGGCGGCCUUCUGGACUGACACUGACACUGAGGUGCGAAAGCGUGGGUAGCAAACAGGAUUAGAUACCCUAGUAGUC
rnacentral:rRNA from 1 species